UAUAAUAUACUGAGUGUGAACAUUCUCAAAACUGUAUUGUAUAUAGUUUAUUUUUUUAUUGUGUAAAUGUAAUUUUUGUAAAACUGAGGUUCCACAUGUCACUGUUGAAGUGGGGCGUUAAUCAGUGUGACACCACUUGUAAACAUGCUGCAUGUGUGGGGGUUCCCAGCCAGAGCUGCAUGGACUCCACACUGGGAUGAGCAGAGGUGUGCUGUUGCUGUGUGACACUGAUUUUGCUGCUCCACUUUGUGUUUUAGAAAUAAAUCCAGUUUCCAGCCAGUCUGUGUCUGUCGUCACAACGCAGUCAACCGUUUGAAAUCUGCUACAUAAAAGUGGUGCCGUGACCCGGAUCCAUCUGAUCAGCCGCUGCCGAUCGCUGAGGUUGAGCUGAACACUUCUGACACCUGCGAUAUCAGCCAAAUUAUCUUGUGGAUCCUUUUGAAAAAAAUCCUCAGUGUUUUGUUAGUAGACAUUUCUCCCAGAUAUAUGUGUUAGAGUUUAACUGGGCUACAUUUACAUGUGUUGUAUUUUCCUGGGUGAUAAGCACUUUCGUAUUUUUCCUGUUUCCAAUUGUUUUUGUAGUUAUUGUUAAUUUCCUGUGAGUAACAUGACUGGUAGGGGCCAAGGCUCCUUUAACCUUUUCACACCAGUUGCUGGGAGAGGUUGGAGACUGUCUGGGGCAGAUGAAGUUAGGGACAGGUCCAUAAUGUCUCAUGAUGAGCCAUCAGAAUCAGAUGACAUUAUUCAAAAUAAUGCUCAUGGGCGCCAGUUUUCAACCCCUGCUUUGAGUGAUGACAGCACACACAAGGAGCUACGUGAGCUUAUUGGUGAGCUGGGGACUCAGAUAGGUGAAUCGAUCGCUAGUCGGUUAUUAUCCAGUCAAGUCCCGCUUGGUCCAAACCAGACAGCUCCAACUGAGUCUCCCAAAGUUAAGGGCCCUGAUACCACUCUCGACUUCUCCAAAAUGAACCUA